rnacentral:misc_RNA from 1 species
ACUGCGGAUGCUGUAACUUCGUUUUUGAUGUAGAACUCUUAACCCCAUUUUUGCUUUUGCUAUCGAUGAACUCUGCACAAUCUAUCUGAAUUUUCCUGUUUUCCUUUUGGUAUAUUAUAGAUUAUAUAGAUAGAUUUAUUGAGUGUUAAGAGCAUAAUGAACAAGAGUAUCAGCGCCGAAGAUCUGUCCACUAUUGGAGGAAUCGCUACCGUUUCACUUCUUCAUUCCUUAAUUCCAACGCAUUGGCUUCCAUUCUCCAUUGUUGGCCGCGCCCAGAAAUG